rnacentral:lncRNA from 1 species
AACAAUUGACAGCAGAGAAAACCGCCUGUAGAAGGGUGUCUUCUGCGUUGAUUUUUUUUAGUGAUCGGCUUCCAACUGCGUAAAUCAGUUUCAUUUUAUUAUUAUUAUGUUUACCUGGUAUAUAUUUAUUGGUCAACUAAUUAUAUCACCAACUGUAUAUUACGUUAAACGUAACUUAAAGAUGUCUUAAAAUAAAUUACCUCUUUAAAAUAAAUUAUUUUGUAAAAAUUGGUAUAGCAUAAUUUUAUUAGUUACGUG